rnacentral:rRNA from 1 species
AGAGUUUGAUCAUGGCUCAGGAUAAACGCUGGCGGCGUGCCUAACACAUGCAAGUCGAACGCCCUGCGCAAGCAGGGAGUGGCGGACGGGUGAGGAACACGUGGGUUAUCUACCUUGAGGUGAGGAAUACCGGCGAGAAAUCGCCGACAAUACCGCAUACGUUUGGAAACAAACAAAGUCGCAAGACGCCACAAGAUGAG